rnacentral:rRNA from 1 species
GGUGGAUGACUAGGCUCUAAUGCUGAUGAAGAACGUGACAAGCUACGAUAUGCUCUGGCGAGUGGCACGUACACGUUGAACCAGAGAUUUUUGAAUAGGACUUCCUUUUAAAUCCGCAAGGAUGGGGAACCUGGGGAAUUGAAACGUCUUAGUACCCAGAGGAAAAGAAAUCAAUAGAGAUAUGCUUAGUAAGAGCGACUGAAAGGCAUAUAAGGCAAACUGAAUCCUGUAUGGAAAUAUAUAGGAGAUGUGGUGUUGUAAGGCUGCUCAUUAUUCUAUCUAGGGAACUUGAAGUUUUCUGGAAAGUUACGCCAUAGAGGGUGAUAGCCCCGUAAAGGUAACUUAGAAGAUGUUUGAGCGUGUUCUUGAGUAGUGCCCACUGAAUACUGGGUACGAAAUUAGGAGAAUCAACUUCUAACCUUAAAUACAAUUAGAGACCGAUAGCAAACCAGUACCGUGAGGGAAAGUUGAAAAGAACCCUUAACAGGGAGUUAAAAGAUCCUGAAACCUAAUAGUUAUAGUGGGGUACGGCUCUUCGGAGUUGUACCGUUCGUUUUGAAUAACGAGCCAGGGAGUUUACUUAAGUGGCAAGGUUAGAGUGUUAAAACUCAAGCCAUAGCGAAAGCGAUUACCCGCAGUUUACGAGGGGUAAGGUGUGAAAGUGCCUUUAAGUCACUUGAGUAUGACCCGAAGCCGGACGAUCUAAGCGAGGGUAAGGUGAAAUGCGAGUUAUAUCGCAUGGAGGCCUGAAGAAGUUCUACGGGCAAGUGUUUUUCUAACCUUCGUUUAGGGGUGAAAAGCCAAUCGAGUCCGGCAAUAGCUGGUUCCUACCGAAGUUGGCCUUAGUCAAGCGUCGUCAGAGAUUGCUGAGAGGGUAGAGAUACUAAUUGAGGGUUUAGGUUUCGAAAGAGAUCGGUCUUCAUUUAAACUCCGAAUAUCUUAGCAUCGUAGAAGACGGCAGACGCCGGCAAGGGGUAAGCCUUUGUCGGGAGAGGGGAACAACCCAGACUAUAGUUAAGGUCCCAAAAACUAAUCAAGUGUUAAAGGGUGAAGGGUGUCUAUAACCACAGACAGCGAGGAGGUUGGCUUAGAAGCAGCCAUCCUUUAAAAAGUGCGUAACAGCUUACUUGUCAAGGUUAUAGGCCCUUAAAAUGGACGGGGCUAAAUUAGUUACCGAUACUAUAGGCAACUGAAAAGUUUGCGAUAGGUAGGCGUUCUAUUUGAGUAGAAGUAUCUCUGAGAGGGGGUAUGAAUCAAAUAGAAAUGAGAAUCCUGGCGAAAGUAGGAGCAUAGUAGCUUGAGAAUAGCUACCACCGAAAGGGCAAGGGUUCCUUGACAAUGUAGUUCAGUCAAGGGUAAGUUGAUCCUAACUGAUCUCCUAGACGGAGAUAUAUGGAAAGGGAAACAGGUUAAUAUUCCUGUACUAUUUAAGUAUGCGUGGCAACACAAGGUUAAUUCUUGACGCUUUGGAUUAGACCAAUUAAGACUGUCGUCUUAAUUAACAGAAAUAAAUCAAGGGAGUAUCGUAAUGAUGAGAACUUGAUUAAAUUUUGGAAUAGCAAGCCUAUGGCUUGUUUGGUUGAUAUCUGGAGCCCGUGAAAAAAGAAUUAGCAAAGAUCUUAGAUAAUCAUACCCAGAACCAGCACAGGUGCCCCUGGGUGAGAAGCCCAAGGUGUGAAGGUUUAAUCUGAUUGAGGGAAUUCGGCAAAAUAGCCCUGUAUCUUAGGUAUAAAGGGUCCCUGCAUUUGUAUGUUUUUAUAUGCGAUUGCAAGGUUCAAUAACAAAGAGGGUCCGACUGUUUAACAAAAACUUAACUGACUGCUAAGCUGCAAAGCCUUGUAUAGUCGGUGACGUCUGCCCAGUGUCCGUACUUGAAACUUGGGUUCAACCAAGCUAAGAGCGGAUAAACGGCGGGGGUAACUAUAACUCUCUUAAGGUAGCGAAAUGCCUUGCCGUUUUAUUGACGGCCUGCAUGAAUGGCGUAACGAGAUCCUCACUGUCCCCAAUCAGAAUCCUCCGAAUCCUCUUUACUGGUGCAAAGGCCAGUGAUCUCCAGUGGGAAGCGAAGACCCCGUGAAACUUUACUGUAGUUUGUUGUUGUGAAGUUGGUUUUAAUGUAUAGUGUAAGUGGGAGUCGUUAAAGCUUAGACGCUAGUUUGAGUGUAGACACCAAUGUAACACCACUCUUUGAAACUUACUUUGCUUACUUGGAAACAAGGACAUCAAUAGAUGGACAGUUUGGCUGGGGUGGCACACCGUUGAAAAUAUAUCAAUGGUGCCCAAUGGUUGACUCAGGAAGGUCAGAAAUCUUCUGUUGAGUGCAAAGGCAAAAGUCAGCCUGAUUGGAUUUAAACCAAGAAUAAUCCAAAGUAGAAAUACUGGCUUAGCGAACCUCUGUGCCUUCUUGAUGGGGGCCAGAGAUGACCGAAAAGUUACUCCGGGGAUAACAGAGUUGUCGCGCCCAAGAGUUCAAAUUGGAUGAAAUAAUUCAUCCAUGAAUAUAUCGACGGCGCGGCUUGCUACAUCGAUGUCGGCUCUUCCUAUCCUGGCUGUGCAUAAGCAGCCAAGGGUGCGGGUGUUCACCGAUUAAAAGGGAUCGUGAGCUGGGUUCAGAACGCUGUGAGGCAGUUUGUUUGAUAUCUACUGGAGAUGUUGAUGUCUGAAGGGAAGGGACUCAUAGUACGAGAGGAACUGAGUCUCGGGGCCACUGGUCUAUCUGUUAUCUGACAAGGUAUGCAGAGCAGCUACGCCCUCCACGGAUAAGUGCUGAAAGCAUCUAAGCACCAAGCCGUCCUUGAAAAUAGACAUCUUAGAACACGGAUAGAAGAUCCGUUUGAUGGGAUUGAUGUGUACGUA